ACAGGAACUGGAUGGACCAUAGAGAAUGACCGUGAACUACUACAAGUCCAACCAAGUGUUGGUCUUGAUUGUAGCUGCCAUGCCAGCAGCAGGACCAUUGUUAGAGCACAUUCCUAAGAUUUCAGAGCUUUGCUAAUGGAGCCACCCCCUGUCAUAAAGAGUCUGAAGUGAUCUGGACCAUCUGAACCCAGUGAACCUCACACUCAUCCAUUGCCUCAGUGACGUCAUCAAGUUCAUGGUCCAGGAGAAACAAGAGGAAGCUUGUGUGCUAGAAGCCUUGGUAAAACACAUGUGCUCCAGAGAGGAGAAGAUAAACUGUGAAGAUGAGAGACCUGGAAUGCAGUGGCCAGGUUCAUGCUGAGAUGCCCAACUCAAAGCCAAAGGGAUUUAAUGGUCCAGUGACUGGGAAAAUGGUCCGUAAUUCCGAUGGCAGGAAAUCUGGGAACCAAAUUGCUUACAAUGAAUUAAUUGCAUGAACAAACCACAUGGUGGGCACUGAAGCAGUCAUUCCGGCUCACACAGAGGACUCCAUACCUGAGAGCCAUUCUAGUGCUUCACGCUGAGGACUGCAUUUCACCUUUACGACAACCAUAUAAAACCCUGCUCAUGUGGCCAUGUUUUUGCUCCCCAUGAUUCGCCAUGAUGCUUUCCACUCCGUGGUCCUUGCCUCUGAUUUCCUGCUGCCCCUUUGCCUAGAAGGCUCCUCCUCAAGUGACGGGUUUUCACUUUUGUUCCUCGGGUUCCUCAGAGCAAACCUCUCUGAUGACUGUUUCAAAGGGAGCUGUUGUCAUCACCACGCCCACUUCAUUUUCACAAAUGCUGCUCCUGUCAGUCGUGAUUAUUGGCUUGUUUGCCUCCUCCUAUUGUCAUGUCUUCCUCCACAAAAACGUGAGCUCCAAAGAGCAGAUACUGGCUUGGUCUUAUUCACUGUGGCCCUAAUCACUGCCGGUCCACCAUGGAUAUUCAGUAAGCAUUUGUUUAAUGAACAGAUGAAUCGUUUUCAGAUUAUUUAAGCUAUAUUCGUUUCUCCUUGACUGUCUGACCGUCUACUCCUUGGUAAAGUAUCCAACCAUAGAGGGAGGAACAUGUUUCAUUUUCAACUUAAAUAUGUGUUCAAACAUGUUUUCAUUUUCAACUUAUAUAUGUGUUCAACUUAACAUAUUGAAGGGAGAUUGUUGUUCUAUCUUAGCUCUUGCGUACUCUAUCCCUUCAUGGUGGCAAAUGACGAGAUAUUAAGUUUUAAGAGCCAUCAGACUUUCAUUAGCAAACAUUUCCUAACCUUUUCUGUUUUCUAGGUCUUUUCUGAAUUUUAUUUAAUCUGAAUUUAGAAUGUAGUCAUCUCUACGGAAGCCGUUGCUUGCAUGUAAUUUUCGAUUGUGGAAAUUCUAGAAAUCCUACAAAAUUAACAUUUUUGUUUAUUUCAAAUACAUUGGUUCCAAGACUAUGUCAUGCUAACUCCUCUUAUUCUCAAGAAUUACAAAAUAAAGAUGGUGAUAAGGAAUUCAUUGCUACAGUGUCUUGGGAUAUGAAAUUGUAUCCAUAAAAACACUGAUGUAAUACUAUGAGCUCAUAAUAUAAAUGGAUAGCAAAUCAUUUUGUGGCAUAUUAGAUCAUGAAGAUAUUUGGGUAUAAUUUUAGAGGAAAAAAAUAAAGCAAUGUUGCGACUAACAGGUGAGUGGCUUCAAACCACAACUGGGCAAUCUUAAAUCCUGAUUUGAGGAAAUGUUUGCCAAAGCUUUUUUAAAGUCAACACAUAGAAUAGUCUAGAAGAUGGGAAAGAAGUACGUCUAAAACAUCACAGGGGAAAAAAAAUAGGUUAAAUAUAAAACAUUGCUGAUCAAGAUAAAUGAUCCAAUGGAAAUUACUCUUAUUGGAAUAAAAUACAGAAAGAGGAAGAGAAAGGAAGAGUUUAAGAGAUGCCGGAGCUACUGUAAGUGUCUGAGAUCAAUCUCUUGAGCUAUGCAUUCAGGAACACAGCGAUUAGUGUUGACUAACCAUUUACUCUAAGCCUUUAUACCUCACAGCCUGCUCAACCACAAAGCACGUGCCAACAGCAACCAGAGCUCAGCAAGGGACGGAGGGUCCACGUUGCCUGGAGAGGUUCAGGUCGACUUCUUGGAAAGAACAGGACUUUAGUGAAACCUUGCUGGAUGCUUAGGGGUCUUGAUACAGAAAGGUGGGAGCAGGAAGAGAGAGAGAUGCACAAAAGCAAAAAAACACAAACAAAUUAGAUCACCUCACCUCCAGGAAAAAAGGCUUUCAAAGGUUUCCUGACUGAAAUGGAACAUGGAAUACAGAGACAAAAAUUUAAUGGAAUGGCCCCACGGUGGGCUUUGCCUGUUAAUCUUCGGGUGGGUGGGCAGUAGAAGCAACUGGAAACAUGAAGAAAGGGUGGCAUGAAGGGGUGAUGUUUUAGGAAGGGAAAUACUUGCUUGUAUCAGUCCUGUUGCAAAGAGGUAAGUCUGGAUCUUGAAUGUUCUCCAAAGGCUUGAUCCCCAACCUACAGUGCUACGGGGAGGUGGUGGCAGCAGCUUUGUGAGGGGGAGCCUAAUGGAGGCAAGUCAGGCCAUGGGGAUGUGUCCUUGAAGGGGAUAGUGGGAAUCUGGCCCCUUCCUCUCUCUCUCUAUCACUUUCUGGCUGCCAUGAGGUGAGUAGCUUUGCUCCAUCAUGUGCUCCCGCCGUGAUGUUUGGUCUCUUCACAGGCCCAAGAUCAGUGGAACCAAAGGACCACGAACUAAAACUCAGAACUUGGAAAAUAAAACUUUCCUUCCUAUAAGUUGCUUAUCUCAGGUAUUUUGUCACAGUAACAGAAAGUUAGCCUAUUGGAGUCAUUCCAUAACGCUAUUCCUACAAUAAGGCUGUAAGAUGAAUCAAGAUCUGUACUCCGAGGAUCGUAAUAUUAAUAGAGAGAAAGGAGUAACUCCAAGAGGCAGUUUUAAGGGCAUGGAAACAGGAAUGUACCAAAAUUGUGUAAGAUUCUUGCUUUACAUGUAUCAUUUUCCUUAAUUCUCAAAACAGCCUUUCCAAAAUGUAUUGUUUUUCCAGUUUCGAGAUAACUGAGCUUAGUGACUUAUUAAAUAAAUUACACAAGAUCAAACAGUGGAACCAAGGUUAGGAACGGGCAGGUUGAGUGGGUGGUGGAUUAAGGUGAAUCAAAGUGUUCUCAUUUCUUGACUUUGCAAGGCUGCAUUUGCAUUUUUAUUGUGCUUUGUGCUCCCAGGUCUGAGAACCUCAUGUUGAUCUGUGUAAGAUUAUGUGUCAAAGACAAAGGCUGAGUAGCUAGCCCUGAAAACAGGAUGCAACGGCCAGUUUGGGUUUGUAUCCUUAAAACUCAGCAUCUGGUUUGAGAUAAAUGAAAGGCGAGUUUCUGAUACGAAAUAAGUCUCAAAAAGACUGAUAAAGAGCAAUUGCCUGCUGGGUGAGGCAAGUUUACUCCACUAAGUUUGCUCUCAGUGUGUUCUUCGGGUAGCUGUGACCUCAAGCUGGAGACUGACCAGAGGUCUCCAGAGCAGAGGGAGCCCAUGGAGUUCUAAACAGGAUCCUUGUGCCCAGAGGAACAGGGUCACCCACUCGUGCAAUUUAGAAGCAGCAUGAAAUAAACGUGGAGCACCAGGGUUAGAGAGCAAAGAUGGGUUGGGAGUCGACACUAUAGAUCCAGAUUUAAAUCCAGAUUUUUAAAACUAGGAAACUCUCUUUCUAAAGAGAAAAGCAAAGCUUGCAGUCUCGUUCCAUUACCCACCGGUGCCUUUGAGCCAUGAACUUUCCCCCACUUCUGAAACUUCUCUGGAAAAUUCAUUUCAUGCUUGUCUACUCCAGUAACACCCUUGACUGAACUGUUACCAAACAGGAGACUUGGCUGAGGGAAUGUGAGAAAUCUCUUGAUAGGUUGGAGCCAGUUGGCACCCUUGAGAGCCAUGUGCUGUGACCUUCGCUUUACCUGUAAUCUGGGACCAUGACCUUCUCCCAGCAGAGGGGACUUUCUGAUUAUUCCUGUGCCAGGUGCCUGGGAAGCAGACACGGCACAUGUGUCACAUUCUUUGACACACUAAAAAUGUCUGUUAGGCUGAGGGAGGGACACAGGGGCCCUGGCUUCAGAGCCCUGCAUCCACCUGCGUCUGGGGGGCUGUCCUAGGAGACCGGCUUGGUAGCCCUCAAAUCUCCCUGAGAGCCUCAAUUUGGAUUCUUUCCCUUAUAAGACCAGGUCUCCACCAGCUAACUUACUGCUGCUAAGGCUGCCCUCAAACCAAUGUGAUAAGCAUCCCUGUCUCCUUCACUGUACAUUUUUUUCCCCAACUGUCUUUUUAUGCAUCCUUAGACGACCACCUUCCCAUUUAUAACAAUGCUUCUUUCAGAAUUCAGCUUUUCUCAAGUUCUCAGCCUCUUACCCUCAGAAAAUGAUCUAAUUUCUUCCUCCCCCGAGAAAAGGUUUUCAGCAAAAACUUACCGAGCACUAAUGCGAAGCAAGAAAUGUGCGAAGUCGCUUGGCACAGAGGCACACACCUGUAAUCCCAGGGACUCCGACGCUGAGGAGGAGGAGUGCAAGUUCAAGGCCAGGCUUGAGGACUUAACAAGACCCUGUCUCUCGAUGAAAAAUAGGAAGUGUGUAGGGGUGCAGUUCAGUGUAGAGUAUCCCUGGGUUCAAUUGCCAACACCACACACACACACACACACACACAAACACACACACAACAUACACAAAAGAAUUGUGUUUAGACCCUGGAAUAUAAAGACAAAUACAAUAUCAUCUUUGCC